UUACCUUGUUCCCCUAGGAAUACUCUUGUUGACUUAGUGAAACUUGGCAUGUUAAGCCUUGAUGUGACUCUUAGUAUGGAUGGGUUGCAUACUUGGUGUGUUUUUAUUGAUGAUAGGGCUCGGAUGGUUAGAAGAAUAUGGGGCCCUUGAGUGUGUACUAGUUAUCACCUUGUUGAGUAGGAUGACAUUUGGGUACAAUUUCUUCCUAUUAUGGAUUUGGUGUUUGAUUGUGUCAUAUAAGGGUGGUAUGGCUAGAUGUUGAGGACCAUAGACUUUUGCAAAAAUGGCAAGAUGUGAGUUUGGUUAUGUCUUUAGGAGUGCUUGGAAAAAGUUUUCUUGAGGGUUGUAGUGAGGGC
rnacentral:lncRNA from 1 species